UAGUAAGAGACGGGGUUUCCAUUAUGUUGGUCAGGCUGGUCUCAAACUCCUGAUCUCAGGUGAUCCACCAGCCUUGGCCUCCCAAAGUGCUGGGAUUACAGGCGUAAGCCACCGUGCCCAGCCAUCAUUCCAUUCCUUUACAAUUGAGGAUGUGGCAGCUAAGAGGGAAAGGUCUUCCAUCAAGCAGUGGCAGGGCUAAGGCCAGAUGAUGCCCUCCCACUGGGUCUCUGGCUUGUGAAUGUGGCUGGGGUGGUGGGUCAGAGAGGAAGGGGAUCUAGGUGGUGGUGAGGAGAGGUGGUGGUGAGGAGAGGUGGUGGUGAGAAGAGUUCGUGGUGACCAGCCUGUGGCACACUUUAUAUGGCCUUCCUGGAACCACAGUCUUAUUCUCAGGUUCCAGAUGAGGACACAGGCUCAGUCCCCAUGGCUGUCAAGUGGCAGAGCCAGGAUUUAACCCAGACCUCCUGGCUCCUAAGUCCAUAUGCGGUUGGUGGGAGUGUAAAUGGAUAUAGUCCUUAUAGGAAGCCAAUUUGGCAAAAUCUAACAAAAUUAAAUACAUACCUUUUUGACCCUCAAAUUCCACACUUAGGAAUCUACCCAACAUUUAUACUGGAACAUAUUUUUUUUUUUUUUUUUUGAGACAGAGUUUCACUCUUGUUCCCCAGACUGGAGUGUAAUGGCACAAUCUCAGCUCACCGCAACCUCUGCCUCGCAGGUUCAAGCGAUUCUCCUGCCUCAGCCUCCAGAGUAACUGGGAUUACAGGCAUGAGCUACCAUGCCCAGCCAAUUUUGUAUUUUCGGUAGAGACUGGGUUUCUCCAUGUUGGUCAGGCUGGUCUCAAACUCCUGACCUCAAGUGAUCUGCCCGCCUCGGCCUCCCAAAGUGCUGGGAUUACAGGCAUGAGCCACUGCGCCCGGCUGAACACAUUUUUAUGUAAACAAGCAGUGUGUACACUUAAGAGUCUUAUGCACAGGAUAAUGUCUGGAAAAAUGCUUACUGCAUGUCCCCAGCUCCAGGAAAGAGGAGAGCUUGUGGGGCCCUUCCCCAAACAGGCUGUGUCCUGGUCCUCAGUGUGGCUGGCUGGAAGCCAGGGGGACUCAGCCUUUGACUAAGAAUGCUCCAUCCACCCCUGGGACCGAGAAAAUCUCCUUUCACACAAUUCAUUACUCCUUAGGGUGGAGGUUUAGGAAAGGGGAGAGGCAUCCAGAAUGCCCGCUUCCUGGAAGCCAGUGGUCACAUCCGGCAAGGGGACUUCAGUGACCUUCCUCUCACCCCUCCAGCAGCAGAAUCAGAGCUCCCUCCUCAGCUGCCUCUAUGCUAUCUGCCCCUCCCUUCUAGCACAUGUCCCACAGUACUGUCCUCACGUAUUUCUUUUUUUUCCCAUGGGAAAAGCAAAGACCGUAACCUAUUUACUGCCAUCUCUAGUACCCAGGAUAUUACACCUAGCACAUGGGGGCUUCAGGGACUGUCUGUCUCAUAGAUGGAUUAAUUUACU
rnacentral:lncRNA from 1 species